rnacentral:lncRNA from 13 species
CAGGGGUUAAAUUUUAGCACAUAGAGAAUUACAUCAAGGGUGUCAACAUAAACUAAAUGUAGGUAUCCAAGGGAGUAAAAUAUUCAUCCUUUUAAUAUCAUUUGUGAAUCAGGAAAAAAAAAAGAAGUUACAAGGACUGAAGUUUUUAUUUCGGAGUAACAUCAAGAUUACGUCCAGCUGGUGGAAGCUUCAUGAACUUCUAAAGGUAAUCCAUUGGAUCACAGGAAGAGACAUUACUGAGAAAUGUAAAGUUUUGACCGAAGAAAGGUGAUGUGUACAUUUGCAGGUGAGCUGAAUGUGAUCUAACAAAGGGUCAAAUGGCCAGCUUUCAAAGUGUCAGUCCAGAAAAUAUUAAGAUGCUCCUGUAUUCUGUGAUUCAAAUUUAAACGAAAGCGAAUCUGUAGAGUAAGCGUAAAAACCAGCUCAUCGAAUUCUUCUUUUCCCAGUGGUUAUCACUUUGGGGUAGUGUACUUAUAAACUUGUUUCAAGUUUUUUUCUCAGUCACUUCGGUUCUUCUGCUUUGGAAGCACCUGAGCCACAUCCUUAUCAUCCUUCAGCUGCCCCUUACCUGGCCCAGCAGCUUCUGGAAUGAAGGGAAAGAAACUUGUGGAAAAGGAGUUGGAGAAGUAGCGAAUAAAGAAAAUUACAAAUGGAAAAGACGUAGUAAAUGACAAUAUGGAAACUAAGGUAAGCCAUAUGGAAAAUGAGCAUUUGUUUGUUGUGAAAAAUUGGUGCAUAAAUGACUCAAAGAUAAGAGCUUAUGAGAAUUUCUAAUGACUACCUCCAGCAUGUGUAUUUCAUCCUGUCUCCCUUAGUUAAUUUCUUUAAGAAAAAGAGGGCUAUUUUUAAUUAACAGCACUAAAAGGGAGUGAAAGUUUAGGUUGCAGGCACCGUAAACAUUUGCCAUGAAUCUUAUAUGCUUACUGUUUAUAGACACCAACUUAAUUUCAGUUUGCCAACUAUUUUCUGGGUUUUGGAACCUGAAAAGGGCAACUCAUUGAGCAAUAAGUUGAUCAUCAGGGUUCCCAGGUAAAUAAGGGAGCUUACUGCUUAGAAGACUCUCUGCCAUGGAUGAGAUUCAGCUUUUCCAUCUGUAUGUAGUGGGAAUAUUAUAUGUCCUUUCAUCAUAUCUGAGCAGUUAAUAAGUCAAUGAUUCUACCUGGCCAAGGAGAUAGUGAGCCAGUCAUACUUAGUCCUUUAAGGCAGCACUUUUCAAUUGGAUUCUUCAACACAAUGAGGAGGCCAGGGAAGGGGCAGUGAUAAGAGUUGAGACUACCCAAGCCCAGAGUAGGGAUAUGCUAACAAUACUGAUGACAACAGGCCCAGGUGAAUUCAUGCAUACUGAUCCCUGAGUGCUUAGAUACUUCAACAGGCCUCUAUCACUUAUGUAGAAGAUAGGAAG